GAGGAAUAAGCAUCGGCUAACUCCGUGCCAGCAGCCGCGGUAAUACGGGGGAUGCAAGCGUUAUCCGGAAUCAUUGGGCGUAAAGCGCCUGUAGGUUGUUUAAUAAGUCUGUUGUUAAAGACUAGGGCCAAACCCUAGAAAAGCAAUGGAAACUACUAGACUAGAGUAUGGCAGGGGUAGAGGGAAUUUCUAGUGUAGCGGUGAAAUGCGUAGAUAUUAGAAAGAACACCGGUGGCGAAAGCGCUCUACUGGACCAUUACUGACACUCAGAGGCGAAAGCUAGGGUAGCAAAAGGGAUUAGAUACCCCUGUAGUCCUAGCCGUAAACGAUGGAUACUAGAUGUUGUGCUUAAUGUACAGUAUCGUAGCUAACGCGUUAAGUAUCCCGCCUGGGGAGUACGCUCGCAAGGGUGAAACUCAAAGGAAUUGACGGGGGCCCGCACAAGCGGUGGAGCAUGUGGUUUAAUUCGAUGCAACGCGAAGAACCUUACCAGGGCUUGACAUACUACAAAUUCUUUUGAGAAAAAGAAGUGCCUUCGGGAAUGUAGAUACAGGUGGUGCAUGGCUGUCGUCAGCUCGUGUCGUGAGAUGUUGGGUUAAGUCCCGCAACGAGCGCAACCCUUAUUUUUAGUUACUAAUUCGUUAGGUUCUCUAGAAAGACUGCCGGUGACAAACCGGAGGAAGGUGAGGAUGACGUCAAGUCAGCAUGCCCCUUAUGCCCUGGGCUACACACGUGCUACAAUGGCUAAGACAAAGAGUCGCGAGCUUGCAAGAGUCAGCUAAUCUCAUAAACUUAGCCUAAGUUCAGAUUGUAGGCUGCAACUCGCCUACGUGAAG
rnacentral:rRNA from 1 species